UACGUAGGGUGCAAGCGUUGUCCGGAAUUAUUGGGCGUAAAGGGCUCGUAGGCGGUUUGUCGCGUCGGGAGUGAAAACUCAGGGCUUAACCCUGAGCCGGCUUCCGAUACGGGCAGACUAGAGGUAUGCAGGGGAGAACGGAAUUCCUGGUGUAGCGGUGAAAUGCGCAGAUAUCAGGAGGAACACCGGUGGCGAAGGCGGUUCUCUGGGCAUUACCUGACGCUGAGGAGCGAAAGUGUGGGGAGCGAACAGG
rnacentral:rRNA from 1 species